rnacentral:misc_RNA from 1 species
GAUGAAGAACGUAGCAAAAUGCGAUACUUGGUGUGAAUUGCAGAAUCCCGUGAACCAUCGAGUCUUUGAACGCAAGUUGCGCCCGAAGCCAUUAGGCCGAGGGCACGCCUGCCUGGGCGUCACACGUCGUUGCCCCCCCAUCUACUCCUUCGGGAUUGCGGGGGGCGGAUGAUGGCCUCCCGUGCACCUUGUCGCGCGGUUGGCAUAAAUGCCAAGUCCUCGGCGACGCACGCCACGACAAUCGGUGGUUGCGAAACCUCGGUUGCCCGUCGUGUGCGGUCGUCGCGCAUCGAGGGCUCGAAAAAAUUGUCGGGCUCCGGCUCGGCUUUCAACGCGACCCCAGGUCAGGCGGGGUUACCCGCUGAAUUUAAGCAUAUCAAUAAGCGGAGGA